AUUGAUUUUAUGCUUGCAUAAAUGAUUUUUGGAUUCGGAGCGAGUGGCGAACCGGUGAGUAACACGUGGGUAACCUGCCCCGAAGCGGGGGAUAACAUUUGGAAACAAGUGCUAAUACCGCAUAAUUAGUUGGAACCGCAUGGUUCCAACUUGAAAGAUGGCUCUGCUAUCACUUUGGGAUGGACCCGCGCCGUAUUAGUUAGUUGGUGAGAUAAAAGCCCACCAAGACGAUGAUACGUAGCCGACCUGAGAGGGUAAUCGGCCACAUUGGGACUGAGACACGGCCCAGACUCCUACGGGAGGCAGCAGUAGGGAAUCUUCCACAAUGGACGAAAGUCUGAUGGAGCAACGCCGCGUGAGUGAUGAAGGUUUUCGGAUCGUAAAACUCUGUUGUUAAAGAAGAACAAGUGUUAGAGUAACUGUUAACACUUUGACGGUAUUUAACCAGAAAGCCACGGCUAACUACGUGCCAGCAGCCGCGGUAAUACGUAGGUGGCAAGCGUUGUCCGGAUUUAUUGGGCGUAAAGCGAGCGCAGGCGGUUUUGUAAGUCUGCUGUGAAAGCCCUCAGCUCAACUGAGGAAGUGCAGUGGAAACUACAAAACUUGAGUACAGAAGAGGAAAGUGGAACUCCAUGUGUAGCGGUGAAAUGCGUAGAUAUAUGGAAGAACACCAGUGGCGAAGGCGGCUUUCUGGUCUGUUACUGACGCUGAGGCUCGAAAGCAUGGGCAGCGAACAGGAUUAGAUACCCUGGUAGUCCAUGCCGUAAACGAUGAAUACUAGGUGUUGGAGGGUUUCCGCCCUUCAGUGCCGCAGCUAACGCAUUAAGUAUUCCGCCUGGGGAGUACGACCGCAAGGUUGAAACUCAAAGGAAUUGACGGGGGCCCGCACAAGUGGUGGAGCAUGUGGUUUAAUUCGAUGCUACGCGAAGAACCUUACCAGCUCUUGACAUCUUCUGCCAACCCAAGAGAUUGGGCGUUCCCUUCGGGGACAGAAUGACAGGUGGUGCAUGGUUGUCGUCAGCUCGUGUCGUGAGAUGUUGGGUUAAGUCCCGCAACGAGCGCAACCCUUAUUAUUAGUUGCCAGCAUUUAGUUGGGCACUCUAGUGAGACUGCCGGUGAUAAA
rnacentral:rRNA from 1 species